ensembl:lncRNA
GCGCUUGUUGCCGUGUCAACUUCAAGAUGAAACUAGAUAAUUUUGGAGGACUUCUUGAAGUUGUUUAGCAGUUCAGGACAUGUCGACCAGAGGACACCAUUAUAUCUCUUGAUCUCAGCAUCAUUUUCUAUUAUUCUCAGCCUACUUCUUGUCAAUUUCACAGCACAAGAUUGAGUGAGGCUGGCACAGUGAUCGUCCUUCCAUCAUUCUCUUGUUGUACCUGAUUCCUCCUUCCUGUCAAAGACCUGGCAAGGUUUCUGCAUCCCAAGCUGAGAAGCACACUGUGGUCUUCCAGAAGCAAGCAUCCAGGAACAUGUUGAUGCCCUCAACCCCAUUACACAACCCUAUAUACUUGCUGCUGGGACAAAGAGGAACACCAUCCAUGAGUUUUUUGUUGUCCUGGACAAGCAGGUCAAACCAUGCAAGUCAACCAAUUCACUUGGAGCUU